AGACAUAAUAGUGCAUGGGAUGAUCAUCAUAUACUUCUAUCAUAAUGUUCAAAGCCCUUAUACACUUUUACAAUUCAUUUCAAAUAAUGAAUUAAUUAGUUCAUGUUUAUUUCUGAUUUAUGUCUAGAACAACCUGACACACAGUGCUGGUCUGCAUCUCAA